rnacentral:rRNA from 1 species
GAUGAGAGGAGCUUGCUCCUUGAUUUAGCGGCGGACGGGUGAGUAAUGCCUAGGAAUCUGCCUGGUGGUGGGGGAUAACGUUCCGAAAGGAACGCUAAUACCGCAUACGUCCUACGGGAGAAAGCGGGGGAUCUUCGGACCUCGCGCCAUUAGAUGAGCCUAGGUCGGAUUAGCUAGUUGGUGAGGUAAAGGCUCACCAAGGCGACGAUCCGUAACUGGUCUGAGAGGAUGAUCAGUCACACUGGAACUGAGACACGGUCCAGACUCCUACGGGAGGCAGCAGUGGGGAAUAUUGGACAAUGGGCGAAAGCCUGAUCCAGCCAUGCCGCGUGUGUGAAGAAGGUCUUCGGAUUGUAAAGCACUUUAAGUUGGGAGGAAGGGUAUUCACCUAAUACGUGAGUAUUUUGACGUUACCGACAGAAUAAGCACCGGCUAACUUCGUGCCAGCAGCCGCGGUAAUACGAAGGGUGCAAGCGUUAAUCGGAAUUACUGGGCGUAAAGCGCGCGUAGGUGGUUCGUUAAGUUGGAUGUGAAAGCCCCGGGCUCAACCUGGGAACUGCAUCCAAAACUGGCGAGCUAGAGUACGGUAGAGGGUGGUGGAAUUUCCUGUGUAGCGGUGAAAUGCGUAGAUAUAGGAAGGAACACCAGUGGCGAAGGCGACCACCUGGACUGAUACUGACACUGAGGUGCGAAAGCGUGGGGAGCAAACAGGAUUAGAUACCCUGGUAGUCCACGCCGUAAACGAUGUCAACUAGCCGUUGGAAUCCUUGAGAUUUUAGUGGCGCAGCUAACGCAUUAAGUUGACCGCCUGGGGAGUACGGCCGCAAGGUUAAA